rnacentral:lncRNA from 1 species
UAACAUAAACCCUGAAGAACAAUCCUAGUUCUGUACGGAGGCCAUGUUCCCCAGCACGUCACAGGCAUCUUUCCUUUCAAAUCGAAAUCUCCAUCAGGAAUCAGCCGCUUCGGGAGGAUCCAGAGUGGAAGGCAUUGUGGAUGACUGACCCGAACCCUUCCUGAAGAUCACUGCACAGUCUGCUUGUGACAUGCGAGUUCCUGGAUUUG